AGAGCGAACGCUGGCGGCAGGCUUAACACAUGCAAGUCGAGCGGAUGUAGCAAUACAUCAGCGGCAGACGGGAUAGUAACACGUGGGAACGCGCCCUUUGGUUCGGAAUAACUCAGGGAAACUUGAGCUAAUACCGGAUAAGCCCUUACGGGGAAAGAUUUAUCGCCAAAGGAACGGCCCGCGUCCGAUUAGCUAGUUGGUGAGGUAAUGGCUCACCAAGGCGACGAUCGGUAGCUGGUCUGAGAGGAUGACCAGCAUCACUGGGACUGAGACACGGCCCAGACUCCUACGGGAGGCAGCAGUGGGAAUAUUGGACAAUGGGCGCAAGCCUGAUCCAGCCAUGCCGCGUGGAUGAUGAAGGCCUAGGGUUGUAAGUCCUUUUAACGGGAAGAUAAUGACGGUACCGUAGAAUAAGCCCGGCUAACUUCGUGCCAGCAGCCGC
rnacentral:rRNA from 1 species